CAGCCGCCGCGGGAAUACGAAGGGUGCAAGCGUUAAUCGGAAUUACUGGGCGUAAAGCGUGCGUAGGCGGUGAGCUAAGUCUGCUGUGAAAUCCCCGGGCUCAACCUGGGAAUGGCAGUGGAUACUGGCUCGCUAGAGUGUGUCAGAGGAUGGUGGAAUUCCCGGUGUAGCGGUGAAAUGCGUAGAGAUCGGGAGGAACAUCAGUGGCGAAGGCGGCCAUCUGGGACAACACUGACGCUGAGGCACGAAAGCGUGGGGAGCAAACAGGAUUAGAUACCCCUGUAGUCCCUGUCUCUUAUAC
rnacentral:rRNA from 1 species